GGAGCAGUUGGUAGCUCAGUGGUAGACUGCAUGCUUUGUGUAUGACGCCCUGUGUUCAAAUCCCAGCUGCUCCC